GCCUGGGUAGUUCAGUGGCAGAACGCAGACUUGGUAAGUCUGAAGUCGAGAGUCCGAUUCUCUCCCCAGGCU
rnacentral:tRNA from 1 species